rnacentral:rRNA from 1 species
ACGGAAGGCAGCAGUGAGGAAUAUUGGUCAAUGGACGCAAGUCUGAACUAGCCAUGCCGCGUGCAGGAAUAAGGCCCUAUGGGUCGUAAACUGCUUUUGUGGUGGAGCAAUAAGUCGUACGUGUACGGCGAUGAGAGUACAUCACGAAUAAGCAUCGGCUAACUCCGUGCCAGCAGCCGCGGUAAUACGGAGGAUGCAAGCGUUAUCCGGAUUUAUUGGGUUUAAAGGGUGCGUAGGCUGUGGUCCAAGUCAGGGGUGAAAGCCCGGAGCUCAACUCCGGAACUGCCUUUGAUACUGGAUUGCUGGAAUACGGAUGCCGUGGGAGGAAUGAGUAGUGUAGCGGUGAAAUGCAUAGAUAUUACUCAGAACACCGAUUGCGAAGGCAUCUCACGAAUCCGUCAUUGACGCUGAGGCACGAAAGCGUGGGGAUCAAACAGGAUUAGAUACCCUGGUA